UCCCUUCACUAGUCUUAUGCCGGUUGGGACAGAACACCAGGGGGGAAGAUGUUCUGGUUCAUAUGAAAGAUGGAUACCACCUUCAGCAGGAAGGCUGGGUGGGGCCGCAGCUGAACCCUGUCUUUGAAGAAGACCAUGUACGGCAGUUCUGAGGCCAAGGCUUUAAUCUCAGAGACUCGUCUCGCCGAUGUCACCGCCACCAGGAAAGUGACCUUCCAUGACAGGUGGGAAAGGGAGCAGGAGCCCAGAAGCUCAAAGAACCAAAAUCCCACUGUGGGACAGGGGUCUGUACCUGCGGGAACAGUCUCUCGAGGCCUCUCAAGCAUCUGACCAUGAUGUCAUGAGGAAACACCAUCUGGUCCUAGAUCAGUGGGUGAAAAGCAGAGAUGGCUGCGAGAUGUACUCUAAUGGAAGAGUGUGCCAGGCCCUGGUUCCUCAGAUGAAGCAGGUAGUCUAAAAUAGACUGUACGGAAGAAUGCGAGGGAGAGAUGACACACUCCGACGCCCAGCGGGAAAAUCUCGUCCAUUUGGCCAAGUAACUUAGUCUGGUUGAGGGCUUCAUACACCCCAGGAGGACCUGUUGGAUCUCAUCCAAGCAGGUCUGCUCCUCUGGGUUCAGCCACGCAGCAUCCACGCCGAGAGUUGGAGGGAAAUGAGGUUGGGGUAUAAUAGCCGACCGUGGUUUUUUGACAGCAAGUCCAGCUGAUUAAGCAGGGGCCAAGGAGGGGCUGCUGCCAGGUUCAUGAGGGUGCCGAACCAUUGCUGGUGACACCAUGCUGGGGAGAUCAUGAUAACCUGUGCCUUGUCUCUCUUUAUCUUUGCCAGGACCUUGCUGAUGAGUGGAAUCGGAGGGAAUGCAUACAUCAGGCUCCCCUGACCAGGACAGGAGGAAGGCAUCAGAGAGGGACUCCUUGCCCAGACCUUGCUGAGAACAAAACCGAUGACAUUCCCGGUUUUGCCUGGUGGCAAACAGGCCCACUUGGGGAGUUCCCCACCACUGGAAAAUCAUGCAAGCUACCUCUGGGUGGAAUGACCACUCGUAGUGAGAGAGGAAGUCUCUGCUGAGGUGAUCCACUAGCGUGUCCUUGACACCAGGGAGGUGACAUGCUUCCAAGUGGAUUUUAUGGCUGAUGCAGAAGUCCUAGAGAUGGAUUGCCUCUUGGCUGAGAGCCAAGAGCGCUCCCCCUUGCCUGUUGAUGUUGAAAAUCGAGGCUGUGUUGUCUGUCAGGACUCUCACCACCUUGCCCGACAGGUGAGGUAGGAACAAUCUGCAUGCCAAGUGGACCACUCUGAGUUCUUUGAUGUUUAUGUGACACAUCCUCUCUUCUUGGGACCACAUACCCUGGGUGUGGAGAUUGCUGAGGUGCGCACCUCAGCCAAGGUGUCAAAAACUAACUCGAUGGAGUGGGGGUGGGAGUGUCGAAUGGAACUCCCUCUAGGACUGUCCUGUGAUUGAUCCACCAUCACAGCUAGGUAAGAUUGUUUGGGGUUGGAAAUGAUCUUUUCCAGGUGAUCCCUGGACUGGGAAUAGACCGUUGCCAGCCAUGUGGACCCCAAGAUGCGGGCAAACCCUGGCCAUAGUCAGGGGGGAUGUGGAGACUUCCGCGAUGAGGUCUGCCAAUGUCUGGAACCUUUCUAGUGGCAGAAAUGCUCUGGCACAGGUCAAGUCAAGCACCGCUCCGAUGAAUUCUAUCCUCUGCACCGGAACUACCAUAGACUUUUUGUCAUUCACCAGUAGGCCCAGGGAGAGGGACGUAGCUUGCAGCACUGCAACAUCCUUUUGGACCUGAGACCUGGAGCUGCCUUUCACUAGCCAGUCGUCAAGGUACAGGUAGAUCUGGGAUGCCUGAGGGCCCGGCUGCUGAAGGGAAGGUCCUGCAUCGACUGCUGAGCCUUGGCAGACAAGCUAGAGAGGAGCAACCAGGAGGCUUGCCACAUGGAGAUGGCGGAGCCAUGGUGUGAGCAGCAGAAUCCGCUGCAUCUGACGCUGCCUGGAGGGCCGCCCUGGCCGCGGUCAUACCUUCGUCAAUAACCGCUUGGAAUUCCUUCCUGGACCCCUCAGGAAGCAAACAUUCGAACUUGACCAUGACUUGCUACAUGUUAAAGUCAUAUUGGCCAAGGAGAGCCUGGUGUUUGGCCACUCUUAACUGAAGACUGGAAGAUGAAUAAACUUUACGUUCAAA